ACUCCUACGGGAGGCAGCAGUAGGGAAUCUUCCACAAUGGACGAAAGUCUGAUGGAGCAACGCCGCGUGAACGAUGAAGGCCUUGGUCGUAAAGUUCUGUUGUAAGGGAAGAACAAGUGCCGCAGGCAAUGGCGGCACCUUGACGGUACCUUGCGAGAAAGCCAACGGCUAACUACGUGCCUAGCAGCCGCGGUAAUACGUAGGUGGCAAGCGUUGUCCGGAAUUAUUGGGCGUAAAGCGCGCGCAGGCGGCCUCUUAAGUCUGAUGUGAAAGCCCCGGCUCAACCGGGGGAGGGCCGAUUGGAAACUGGGAGGCUUGAGUAUAGGAGAGAAGAAGUGGAAUUCACGUGUAGCGGUGAAAUGCGUAGAGAUGUGGAGG
rnacentral:rRNA from 1 species